GGUUCGGCUGACUCGAACUAUUCCCAGCCGUCCUCGGACCUAUCGCUGGACGAGGAGAGAGAGAACCUACGCCGUGAGACCGAACGACAGGCGCUCUCCCAGCUUGAGAAGGCCAGGGGGCACCAUCGGGACAGCGGGGUCAGGCGCAGAACGGAGGGCCAGGCAUUCGUCACUCUUCAGGCAGCCAGGACUAAACCCGUGGCGUUCUCCGUGCGUACCAAUGUGGCCUACGAUGGUUCUCUGGAUGACGACUCGCCAGUGCACGGCUCGGCCAUCUCUUUCGAUGUCAAGGACUUCCUCCACAUUAAGGAGAAGUAUGACAACAACUGGUGGAUUGGGCGUCUGGUGAAGGAAGGUGCAGAUGUUGGGUUCAUCCCGUCACCCGUUAAGCUCGAGAACCUGCGCCUACAGCAGACCCAACAGAAGAACUCCAAGCUCUACCCCAAAAACUCGUCAUCGGGUAACCUAGGAUUGAUAAAUGAUGUUUUAACCAAUAGCAAGAGUCCCAACUCUCGAGGAUCCACUCCCCCCACUCCUGGAAUUGACCUCGACAACGGAUUAGACUCCAAUGUGGGUGACGACUCCGAUUCCCUGGGCAACGCCAAGGGGAAGAGUUCCAUCACAACCCCACCAGCCAAGGAGAAGCGGAAGCCCUUCUUUAAGAAACAGGAGAACAUUCCUCCGUACGAUGUCGUGCCUUCCAUGCGCCCGCUAGUGCUUGUUGGCCCAUCCCUCAAAGGGUAUGAGGUCACAGACAUGAUGCAGAAGGCGCUCUUUGAUUACAUUAAGCACAGAUUCGAGGGGAAGGUAAUCAUUACACGGGUGAGUGCUGAUAUCUCUCUUGCAAAACGGAGUCUCCUAAACAACCCAAACAAACGUGCUCUUAUGGAACGAUCCAACUCCAGAUCUUCUUGUAUAGCAGAAGUUCAGGCUGAAAUAGAACGAAUAUUUGAACUAGCAAGAACUCUACAGUUAGUGGUGCUCGAUUGUGACACUAUUAACCACCCGUCUCAACUUGCUAAGACAUCUCUGGCACCUAUUCUUGUAUACCUCAAGAUCUCGUCUCCUAAGGUACUGCAGCGUUUAAUAAAAUCACGGGGAAAAUCUCAGAGUCGCAACUUGAGUGUUCAGAUGGUUGCAGCAGAAAAAUUAGCCCAGUGUCCACCAGAGAUGUUUGAUGUGAUUCUUGAUGAAAAUCAGCUUGAGGACGCAUGCGAACAUAUAGCAGAGUAUCUCGAUGCCUACUGGCAAGCAACGCAUCCUCCGUUACCUCCACCCCAGAUUCAGAGACCAAUUCCAUCACCACAUACAAGUCCGCGGUCUAACCAUGCGCAAGGAAGUCUCAUGCGGACUAAUUCUACGCCUCCAGGUCCGCCCGGGUCCGUGGCUCGUGAGCCCGGCUACCCUCGCUAUCCGGAUGAGAGAGGUAAUGCUCCGGGAAGCAACCCAUCCCAGUAGUUAGUGUGGCCCAUCUGGCUUGGCCAUUGCUCGCCUCUUGGCGGAUGUGGCCAGCCAGGGUGGCCCACCUUCCACGACAGCACCACAUCAGCUGUGUACCAUCGUGGAGGCCCAACCGGACAUGGGGGGCCACGAGCACUCCCAUCCCGUGACCCUAGAGACCUGCGAGACCCACGCGAUAGAGACCUACGCGAUGAUGAGUAUGUCGACAGGCUUCCCCCACAAGACCCUGGGCUCAUGUACGACCGCCCACCAGACCGGCCCGGGCGAAGGCAGUUGCCCCCCACCAGGGAUGAUGAUUACCACUCCCCCCACCGCCCCCCCACACGCCAAGCCCUCAAUGUGUAGCAAUUAGCCCUUGUUUGUAGCAGUUAGUGCUUGUUUGUAGCAAUUAUUGCUCAUUUUUAGCCUUCUGCUAUGUUCAAGUCCAUAUAAUGGUAGAUUAUUAAGACACCUCUUGGUAUUCACUGCUCUUUUUAGGGUUGAGAAUUACUGGAAAUGCUUGUGAAGGCUAUACAUGGAAUGGCUACCAACAUUCACUGCUAACUCAGUCCAAGCUACUGAACACUCUGGCACCUUCUAGUAUCUUGUGGUUGAGGCAGUAAUGGAAAAAUGACUCUUGGUUAUGAUAAGUUAACUAGAGAAUUCUUAAAAAAGUCUCCACCAUUCUGCCUACUUGGAGAAAGCAUAUUGUGGGCAGUGGUUGUCUCAAAGCCAUAUGCAUAAAAGUUGGGAUUCUCCUGAACUGUACAUUGUGAUAGUCCAAUUUUGAGGUUGCAAAAUCAGUGUCACCUACUAGCCCUUCUGAAGCAUAAUACAUCUGUUUAUCCCCUCACCUAACCCCCCAGCUGCCUUACACAAAUAACCCCUUAUUAAAGAAGAGAGUAGAAGUCCUAGCCAUGGGGCCAUUAUUAGAGCUGUCCUAUGAGAUUAUCAUACAUGAGAACUGGAUACCUACAAUCAACUGAAGGCAUAUGGUACUGACCGGAAAUUUUGUUUUUUUUCUCUCUCUUUUUUCACACGUCUUGUAAUUCUGUACUUUAUAGACUUUUUGGACAAGUUUGGUUUAUUGAGAGGUCUGUGAUUGAUUGUGGAAAACCCAAAUCCCAUAAAUGAUAAUGUUCAUUUGCAUUGGCUCAUAUUGUGCCACUCAACUUCUCUAUGAAUGAUGUUUAAGAGUUCUGCCCCUGAGCCUUAGGCAGAGAUGCUGUGGAAAUUGUACGGGCUGGACAUUAUAAAUAGCAGUGUAAAUAUAGUUGGUUGUACACUAAGGAUCGGCACAUUAUCCUUUGCCCAAGUUGUUCUUAAACUGCCUUUUAACCACUGUAGUGUUGGAUAUUACACUAGUUUAUUACACUAGUUUUUAAUAUUUUCACUUUGUAGCUUGGAACUGUUUCUUAGGUUUACCAUUUUAUAUUCCAUAGUUGUUCACUUUGCAUUUUAAUCAGCCCAAUAAUGCAAAGUUAUUUUACAUCUAACAUUUGAAGUUGGACGAAGUUCAAAUUUUUAUAUGACAAUUUUUCUGAAUAAUCCUAAUAGUAAAGUGAUAAAAGAAUAAGAUUUGUGCAGAAACAGAGCAGUUAGUAAUGGAUAUUAUCAGUUAGAUUUUUGUUCUACUGUUUUGGGAUAGAGGUCUCAUAAUCACAUUUUGAACCAUCUAAACUUUUGCCACUUGAUUAAACUCCUGAUUCAAAAAUGUGAUAGUAGAGUAUUAACCAGGCUUUGAGAAUUGACCAUGGUAAGCUUUAUGGUAUUACUGUACCUUUUUUAUGUAAUUAAUAUGAACUUUUAAGACCAAAAGCAUUCAUCAUUGCAGUUGUUGUUGUUGUACCCUUCCUAAUAGUGAAAUUGCAUCAAUUUCUACACCAAUAUAUUCUUAUUCUAUAAAGACUUUGCAAGUGUACAUCACAAAGAGAAUAUCACUUGCUUCUCAAGACUUUUAAGAAUGCUCAGCUGAUGUUAUGUCAAACUUUACUUUGUGUUAUAUACACAAUUUACAUUUAUUAAUUUGCUAUUGUUAAGUAUAUAAGUUCUACAAUGACGUAAUUUAACAGAGUUCAUUUUACACAUUUUUUGUGUAUUGCAAAGUUUCCAUCUGCUGGUUGACCCAGCUAAGGUACUAGCCAUUGUUCACAUACUCUUUGUUGUAAGGCCAGAAUUGAGGAGUAAUAGAAAGGAUGAGAUAAAUGGUACCUCUGAGUACUAAUCAGAAAUAUUUGGCUUCCUUGCUGAGUGAGGAAUUUAAACCAGCAGACAGUGAGGCAUUCAAUCAAAAUGUAGAUUAAAGUCACAAGAUUCUCAUACUCAGCUUUGUAUGACACUCUACAAUUUGGUCACCGCAGUUUGCUCGUGUUGUAUUAUAGCUUUUGGAUCUCCUGCUUUCCAUUAUUAUUCCUGUCUGUUUCAUUUGUAAUUUGCUGUACACCUACAUAGUUUUUAAGAUGCUACAAAACCACUUGUAGUUUACCUGUCCUGUUUUAUUUGUGUUAUCCUUCAUUUGCUUACAAUUUGUAUGUAAAUACUAUGUUAUUAACUUUCUUCUUUGAAAUGCCUAGUUUAGCCUUUUUUUUUUUUUAGUUAUGGGCAUUCAGUACUGAAUAUCUCUGUAUAAGAUGAGCUGUUCCUGCAUAUUCUUGUGGAAAUGUUAAUUGCAACAAAGAGUAUUUUUUUGCACUUACCCAAGAUACUUGUUAAUAAGGUAACUCUGCAUAAGUUUGAUUGAGGAAGUAUUGUAUAGAAGGAAAAAGACUUGUUUAUGUUUUGCAAUAUCAGCUGCAUCCAGAAAACUUCGGUUUAGUACGAAGAUCUUUAAGAUGUUCUAUUCGAACUGUGAGGUAUAAUUUACAGUUGAAUCCUAACCCUAUGGGAUGUUUGUAGAUAUUAAAAACAAACUUUUUAUCACUAAACAUAUAUAGUAUUACCAAGAAUACUUCAGUAGGCUUUAGUAGCAUGCACACCAUAAACCCUCAAUAAAAUACUUCUGUUUUCCUCUUUCAAAAGAGCUAUUCAUUUUGAGAUAACUUCAUAUGUACUGAUGAUACACUACAUAUGUGCAGACAACUCAAAGGCCAAAUUCAUAAUGGUAAUCCUGUAGCUCCUAAGUUCUAGCUAUAUUUUAUAUAGAAUCAUUCAUCCUCAGGAUUCAUACACAGACUCUAGUAGAAAAGGGGAUUAUCAUAAGUAAUUUUCAUUUGCUUAAGGUCUAAUGAAUAACAUGAUCAAAACACUACAUGUCAAAUUGUUCUCUCUGCAACACUAUACAGCAGUAUCUCAGUUUACCAACAAUCCAACUUAUUAUAGCACAAGAUAGUGUGAUAUUACUACCAUAAUGUUUUUUUUUCUUUGUUUCCUUUCAAAUUUUCUUCUUUUUGUAAGGAUUAUGUAAUGUCUUCUCCACAUUCUCUUUGAGUGUUGCCGAUCCUUGAGUUGUGAGGCUGGGUUGAAUAAUACUUUUUAACCUAAUGGUGUUUGAGAAUAAUUUUUUGGUUUCCCUGUUGAGUGUCUGAAUGAUGAUAAUCUUGUAUGUGGUUAAACAAAAUACAUGCAUUAUCUUAAAAGCAAAACAAAAAAUGUUUAUAGGUAUGCAUCUUUUGAUCCCACUUUGUCCUGUCAACUUGUAAACUAAGGCACACAGGCAGGAGGUCUAAAGCUCCUCUUCCAAUAUGUACCUAAAAUGAUUAUUCAAUUUUCACCUUAUUUACAUGCUUCAUUGUGUUAUUUUUCAAGUUGAUUGUUCGUCUUUAUGUUUUUGUCUCAACUUUUUACAGUCUUUUAUGCAUUAUAAUCUGUUUUACUCUUUAUUUGAGAUUAAAUUCAUCUUCUUUUAAAUCAGAUAUACCUGCCACUUUGAGGGAAGAUUGAUUGCAAUCCAUAUUCUUUGUAUUAUUGUUUGUGUUUGAAUUAUGACUAAAAUAUGCAGAAUGACUGAACAAAUUAUUUUAGGUACUAAAUGACUCUGUUCCAUUACAGAUAGGUUUUAUCUACAUAACAUUAUAGCAAGACACAUUAUCUCUUGCAGUAGUGUCAUAUACUUUUGAUGUGAAUUCUAAAGUAAACUAACAACAGAUGAUAUAAUUUUAUUAGAUGGGAAGUAAAGUAAGAACAAUAUAGAUCACAUACAUAUAUUUUGAAAAUACAGACAUACAAAAGUACAUCUAGAAUAAAGAAAAUGUAUAAACAUCCAUGUUUACAUAUACAAACACAGGGAAAUGACAUGAAUACAUAUAAAUGCCUAUAGUUGUGCAAUCAUGCAUACUUCAUUAAAAAAAAAACAAGAACAUUGUAUCUUACAGAUUAGAAAUUAAAUAUUCAAUGAGUACAAAAUUUAGAUGCACAUAGCAUAACAAGGUCACCAACUAACUCAUCUCUCAGACAAAAUUCUAAAACAAUUUGUUGUGGAUUAAAACUCCAUAUUCACAGUACUUUAAGUCACUGUAAUGGUACUUUUGUCAGUGUAUGUAAUAGCAAGUUGGCUGUAGAAACUUCAGUAAUGUUUUAGAAUUUUGUUCCCCCUCACACACACAAGCGCCUCAUUCUUACUCUGCCUCACUUUUUCUCCAAGUUCAUGGGCAGUAUUCUUGAGAAGCACUUGAGGGAAACAAUCGAGCGGUUCCUUCUCCUGCUUUAGUCAAAAGUUUUUAGUUCCGUUAGCCCACCAGGACUCAAGAGUUGCCGCCCUGAUGAUGGUUUCAACUUCUUGUGCAUCUUCAGAGUUUUGCCCCAAAUGCUGUGAUUAACAGUUUUCCCAUUAGAAGGGAUGAAUUUAUUUCUCUGAGAGCAUUAUCAGAGUUUAACUAUGUGAAUAUCUUUAAUAUCUUUCUUGCUGCCUCCAUCACACUCUCAUGUACAAACCCUGAGUCCUUCCUCCACUCUCCUCAAUUCCUAGAUUAAUUCUUGUACAUCAUUGCUGUCAUCAACCACCUACAGACAAACCUCUCCUUGCGGCGCUUUUUACCAGUAGCAAAACUUGUUUAAUUUGUAUAAACUGGAUGUAAACCAUACCUCUUUAAGAUAAUCAAAGAAAAGAAUUUAUGGAAACAGUGUAAGUACUCAUUUCAAAAUGGAAUAUGAGGUUUGACUGUGGAAAAGUUGCUGCUAUAAAGGUUCUUAAACCAACAAGGAACCUACUGCUUUCUGCCAGUCUAAGCCUCUAGUAGCCUCACAACAAGGUUCAUUUUCUUUACAUUGUAUUUGCAGAUGUGUGAGGUUCGUGAAUCUAACAGAUUUUCUUGUCUGUUACAUUUAUAUUGAUAGACUUCACUAUAUUAACCAUUUGACUAGCAGUACUAUACUGUGUUUGUAUCAUAUAUAUAUUUUUUUCAACAAUGACAGCUUUGGAAGUCUGCGCAACAAAAUACCCCAAAAGAAAAAGAAUCUUGUAUAGGCUUUCUAUUGGCUGAACCUUAGCAGCUGCAUUUCACAUGGCAUUUUGUAAUCUUUAUGAACCCCCUCACAGAAGACAUCUUUGCAUCAUGAAGUUUUGCCAAGAUUUUAUGUUUUUUUAACAGAAUGCAUGUGCCUUUUCUAGUUCUUGUUAUUCAUGCUAGGGUAUAUGCCUCUCAGUCUUGAUAACAAAUGUUAUACUCACCUCCAGCCUUAUAUCAUUACUAACUUAACACAUCUUUCAUUCCUUCUUUUAAAAUUCAUUAGUUUAGCAUGUGAGACUUCAUUGUUCUUGGCACCUGCAGUAGAUGAUUAUAUAGCUGGCAUGAUGCAAAGAUGUUUUUACUAUUUUUUUCAUAUUCUCCCAUUAUUUAAAAAGCAUUCUCUUCCAUCCUGUUCUGUAUUUUAUCAUCCCAUAAGUUAUAAGUACAGUAGCUUCUGGUUAAUAUGACUGCUUUUGGUGGUAACGGAGUUACCAUUUUUCAUAAUGCCUUGUGGCUGUAAUAAAUAUCGGGUAUCUGCAUGAGUGGUAAGUGUGUGACUAUGAUUUUGAUAGCAUGCAGCUGAAACUGCAACCAGCAAUGAUAUUAACUGGUGUUACUGUGUGGAAUUCCCAUGUACUCCACAUAUGACUUCUCUCUCUCCUAUCUUUAAAAUCCCAACCCUUCUUAGUGGCACCUUUGAGUCCUUCUUACAUUCUCUUACUCUUUCAGCAUUCCCAUCCUCUUGCUUCUGUAUAUGCCAUACCAUCCUCCAUGUACUCUUCUCUUCAAAAAAAGGAAAAAAAAAUCUUGUUUACCCCUAUUGCAUGUAUGACUCACAGACUACAUUUUGUUGCAAAAAUUUGUAAAUAAUAAGAACUUUUUAUCAUGA